AGUGAACGCUGGCGGUAGGCCUAACACAUGCAAGUCGAACGGCAGCACAGUAAGAGCUUGCUCUUACGGGUGGCGAGUGGCGGACGGGUGAGGAAUACAUCGGAAUCUACUUUUUCGUGGGGGAUAACGUAGGGAAACUUACGCUAAUACCGCAUACGACCUACGGGUGAAAGCGGGGGAUCUUCGGACCUUGCGCGAUUGAAUGAGCCGAUGUCGGAUUAGCUAGUUGGCGGGGUAAAGGCCCACCAAGGCGACGAUCCGUAGCUGGUCUGAGAGGAUGAUCAGCCACACUGGAACUGAGACACGGUCCAGACUCCUACGGGAGGCAGCAGUGGGGAAUAUUGGACAAUGGGCGCAAGCCUGAUCCAGCCAUACCGCGUGGGUGAAGAAGGCCUUCGGGUUGUAAAGCCCUUUUGUUGGGAAAGAAAAGCAGCAGGUUAAUACCCCGCUGUUCUGACGGUACCAAAAGAAUAAGCACCGGCUAACUUCGUG
rnacentral:rRNA from 1 species